UACGUAGGGCAAGCGUUGUCCGGAUUAUUGGCGUAAAGAGCGUGUAGGCGGCCUGAAAGGUCAGCUGUGAAACUCGAGGCUCAACCUCGAGACGUCGGUUGAAACCAUCUGGCUAGAGUCCGGAAGAGGAGAGUGGAAUUCCUGGUGUAGCGGUGAAUGCGCAGAUAUCAGGAAGAACACCCGUGGCUAAGGCGGCUCUCUAGUACGGUACUGACGCUGAGACGCGAAAGCGUGGGAGCGAACAGG
rnacentral:rRNA from 1 species